AGUGAACGCUGGCGGUAGGCCUAACACAUGCAAGUCGAACGGCCGCACAGUAAGAGCUUGCUCUUACGGGUGGCGAGUGGCGGACGGGUGAGGAAUACAUCGGCAUCUACUUUUUCGUGGGGGAUAACGUAGGGAAACUCACGCUAAUACAGCAUACGACCUACGGGUGAAAGCAGGGGAUCUUCGGACCUUGCGCGAUUGAUUGAGCCGAUGUCGGAUUAGCUAGUUGGCUGGGUAAAGGCACACCAAGGCAACGAUCCGUAGCUGGUCUGAGAGGAUGAUCAGCCACACUGGAACUGAGACACGGUCCAGACUCCUACGGGAGGCAGCAGUGGGGAAUAUUGGACAAUGGGCGCAAGCCUGAUCCAGCCAUACCGCGUGGGUGAAGAAGGCCUUCGGGUUGUAAAGCCCUUUUGUUGGGAAAGAAAAGCAGCAGGUUAAUCCCCCGCUGUUCUGACGGUACCCAAAGAAUAAGCACCGGCUAACUUCGUG
rnacentral:rRNA from 1 species